rnacentral:rRNA from 1 species
CAGUCGCCGCGGUAAGACGAACCGUGCGAACGUUAUUCGGAAUCACUUGGCUUAAAGCGCGUGUAGGCGGAUUGGUGCGUCGGUGCCUGAAAUCCCCCGGCUCAACCGGGGGACGCGGCCCGAAACGACCAGUCUGGAGGGACGUAGGGGGAACUGGAACUUCCGGUGGAGCGGUGAAAUGCGUUGAGAUCGGAAGGAACGCCCGUGGCGAAAGCGAGUUCCUGGACGUCUGCUGACGCUGAGACGCGAAAGCUAGGGGAGCGAACGGGAUUAGAUACCCCUGUAGUCCCUGUCUCUUAUU